CUGUCUAAGAUGCAGUGGAAGGAGACAGAGCAGAAGGAGGUGAAGCAGCACGUUUGCACAUGGACCUACCUGGGCACCAAGCAGUCAUCCGUAGGCUACAGAGCCAAACCUGUAGAGCCAACUAUUGCAGAAGAGGCUGGAGCAGCAGGCAGCAGAGAGGAGGCAGCAGCAGAGAGGAGGCAGCAGCAGAGAGGAGGCAGCAGCAGAGAGGAGGCAGCAGCAGAGAGGAAACAGAAGCAGAGGAAGCAGCAGAUCCUCGAUGAGCGAUCCAGAAAGGACAUAGAGCAGCUGCAAGAGACAAACACCAAAUUACAUCACACACACACACACACACACACACACACACACACACACACACACACACACACACACACACACACACACACACACACACACACACACACACACACACACACACACACAGAACAGAACGCCCUGAGUAUGGAGCUGCUCAGCUGUCCCUCGACAAUCAGCACAAAGGGCAUCCAACCUGAAGACUUCACAGAUGAAAGCCCCAUCCACAGAGAGAUGCCUCUCAAAGUGUUGCCUACUGCGGAUCAAAACAUCAUGGCAGCAGGACCUUACAUAAUAAGAGUUCUGGGAACCCAAGUCACCAAUAAAUCAGAUUGUCACAACGAUGGAUCUCGAUUCCCUCAUCGCCUUGACCAUCAGGACCGAUGGGCGACUACAGGAACGACGGAGGGAGAAGAGAUUAGAUUUCACUCACCCGUCCAAGGAUUCCACCUCGCCUCCGAAGCAUCCCGAAAGUCCCCGAUGGCCCCGUUGCCGAGAGAACCUGAGGCGACCCGAGGUUCCCCAAGAGUCGCCGAAGACGGCCAAGUCACCUUUUCCCGAGCCAAUGCAACUAGGAAGAGAUGGGCAGAACGGCUAUACAGGCUCAACACAAAGAGUUGAGUUGCCUGUAUUGUGAGCAUGAUGAGAAAAAUGGGUCUUACAGUUUCAUUAUCCUUAUAGAGUAGGAUAUAUAAUAGGAUAAAUACUCAGAAACAGGGGUAUUGUCAAGCAGUUGACCACUGUAGAAACAUAACACAGUGUUGGAUGCCAUUUCUGCCCCAUGGAUCCCCUUUUCUACCUGACUUGUCAACUGAUAUAGUACUACCUGUCUCUGCUUGAAAUCCAUUAGCUUACAGGGUAUCAAUGAAAUUCAGAUAAUAUGUUGUUUUAUAAUCUGGGUGGUUUGAGCCCUGAAUGCUGAUUGGCUGACAGCCGUGGUAUAUCAGACCGUGUAUGACAAAACAUGUAUUUUUACUGCUCUAAUUACGUUGGUAACCAGAUUAUAAUAGCAAUAAGGCACCUCGGGGGUUUGUGGUAUAUGGCCAAUGUACCACGGCUAAGGGCUGUGUCUAGGCACUUCACGUUGUGUCGUGCUAAAAGAACAGCCCUUAGCCGUCGUAUAUAGCCCGUAUACGACAACUCCUCGGGCCUUAUUGCUUAAAUAUACAACGCAGGUAUUUCAGCAGUGCAUUAUACACUACACUAUAAUCCCAAAUGCUGGCACAUAGGACAAAGUGGAAAGAGUCACUCUAUUGAAGCACACUGGCUGAUGGAGAAUGAUGCUGUAGUAUUUACAGCCACAUCCGUAUAUAUGAUUUGGUUGUACCUUCCAACAUCAAUUGUCAAAUUGAUACAAUUAUGAGGUCAAAAUAUAGAAAUGUAAUCUUCAGCAGUUCUCAAACUAUACGUUACAGUGACUAGGCAGGCACUACAUCAUUUUGGUUCAGUAGUUAUCAGCUUUGAGCAGUUUGAUUUGUAUUUGUAUUUAUUAUGGAUCCCCAUUAGUUCCUGCCAAAGCAGCAGCUACACUUCCUGGGGUUUAUUAUAGAUCCCUAUUAGUUCCUGCCAAAGCAGCAGCUACACUUCCUGGGGUUUAUUAUAGAUCCCCAUUAGUUCCUGCCAAAGCAGCAGCUACACUUCCUG
ensembl:lncRNA